AUUGAACGCUGGCGGAAUGCUUUACACAUGCAAGUCGAACGGUAGAGGGGGCAACCCCUUGAGAGUGGCGAACGGGUGAGUAAUAUAUCGGAACGUGCCCAGUCGUGGGGAUAACGUAGCGAAAGCUACGCUAAUACCGCAUACGAUCUAUGGAUGAAAGCGGGGGAUCGCAAGACCUCGCGCGAUUGGAGCGGCCGAUAUCAGAUUAGGUAGUUGGUGGGGUAAAGGCUCACCAAGCCAACGAUCUGUAGCUGGUCUGAGAGGACGACCAGCCGCACUGGAACUGAGACACGGUCCAGACUCCUACGGGAGGCAGCAGUGAGGAAUAUUGGACAAUGGGCGCAAGCCUGAUCCAGCCAUGCCGCGUGCAGGAUGACGGUCCUAUGGAUUGUAAACUGCUUUUAUACAGGAAGAAACACCUCUACGUGUAGAGACUUGACGGUACUGUAUGAAUAAGGAACC
rnacentral:rRNA from 1 species